rnacentral:rRNA from 1 species
AUUGAACGCUGGCGGCAGGCCUAACACAUGCAAGUCGAGCGGAUGAGGGGAGCUUGCUCCCUGAUUUAGCGGCGGACGGGUGAGUAAUGCGUAGGAAGCUGCCCGAUAGAGGGGGAUACCAGUUGGAAACGACUGUUAAUACCGCAUAAUGUCUACGGACCAAAGUGUGGGACCUUCGGGCCACAUGCUAUCGGAUGCGCCUACGUGGGAUUAGCUAGUUGGUGAGGUAAUGGCUCACCAAGGCGACGAUCUCUAGCUGGUUUGAGAGGAUGAUCAGCCACACUGGAACUGGGACACGUGCCAGACUCCUACGGGAGGCAGCAGUGGGGAAUAUUGGACAAUGGGCGCAAGCCUGAUCCAGCCAUGCCGCGUGUGUGAAGAAGGCCUUCGGGUUGUAAAGCACUUUCAGCGAGGAGGAAGGGUGGUGUGUUAAUAGCACAUCAUUUUGACGUUACUCGCAGAAGAAGCACCGGCUAACUCUGUGCCAGCCGCCGCCGUAACAC